ACCUCCUCCUUUUUCAUGUGGUUGGUCAUACGAAACUGGUCGUACCAAGGAGGUAAGUAGUGUAGAAUAAUAUAUAUGGCCAACUCCUCAUCGAAGCUAACAUUUAACUUCAACAAGCGGUACACAUAUCUCUGUAUUUUCUGCAAGUAUGCCGUGAUGGACUCUUCAUCCUUCAUUUUGGUAGUGAUCAUCGCAGCGAUGAUCUCAUACCUUUCCUGCCUGGCACUUUGUGUUGGAUAAGGUGUCUAAGUCCAUAACUAUUUCGAGCUUGUACUUGACCCGACCCGGCAUGGUCCAUUUGGGUUGCAUGGCACCAUGCAAUUGGAUAGACUAAAUGAGAGAAAUAACACUUGGAGAUUAUUAAUAUAUUAUAAGUUCUAAUAUAUUAAUAAUAUUAUUUAAUUAGUUGAUCAAAGAAUUAAUUUGGAAUUAAUUAAGUGAUCAAAGGAUAACUAAUUAAAUAUAUGGGUUGGUUAUGUAAAUCAUCCAUAUCUUGUAUAGUGGGCUAAAAGGCUCCAUGGAUUAUCAAGUUGGGUUCUACCCAUAGGAUGCUCCAUGGGAGUUACAAACCCAUGGGUCAUGGAAAUGAAGAGUCAUGACACAUUAGGGUUUACAUGGUGUAACCCUAGAUGUGUCAACACUAUAUAAGAAUCAUAUUCUCCACCAAAAUGGGCUACACAUAGAGACAUAAGAAACUAGAGGGCUUGGCCGAUUUUGAGAAGUGUGUGUUAUCUCAAGAGUCUUUCCAAGAGCAUUUGGUGUUGUGUGAAGCAUUUGAGGCAUCACACUUGGGGUGCUAGGCUCACAAGGUUUCAAGGAACACAAGCAACAACAAGGUAAGUUAUUCUAUCUAUGAUUCAAGUUAAAAUUGUUCCCCAUGUAUGCUAGAUAGGAAUAUAACCUUGGAAUUCAACUUUGCAUGAUAAUUAGACAAACAUAGAUCCAAGGUUAUUAGGGUUGCAUGUACACUUAGGAAGUGUUAGAAUGCUCAAAACCCAUCAGUGGUAUCAGAGCCUAGGCUUGUUUGUUUGUUAUUUGUGCUUAAAAGUUGAAGAAAGUCGAAAAUCUUGCUGUCUGACUGAUGGACUCGGCGAGUCCAUGGGGAGGACUCGUCGAGUUCAUGUGUAUCUUCAACCUACUCGGCGAGUAGGUUUAUGCACUCGGCGAGUAGGGUCGACAGAGUGCAGAAUUUCGACUUGAGUUGCUGGAAAUGGAUUAGAAUCAUUACCCUAAAAUGUUUUGGUACUUGAAAACUUAUUUUAGAAGGUGUAAUGUCUUUUCUAACUCAUUUACAACAACUAGUUAUCAAAAUUACAAAGAUUAAAUGUGAUUUUGAUUCUUGAAAGUGUUCAUAUUCAUAUUCUUGUUCUUAUGAUGUUUAGAUGAUCAUAGGAAUUAUUUGUAACCUAUGUGGUAGAUUAAUUCAUGAUCAUAAUGUGUUUUAAUGGAGUCCAUAACUUGUCCUCAAGUUAUGGAAAACCAAAAGUCUCUUGGAUUAAAAACCAUUAAAAGAACACAAGAGUUAGGAAAAAUGAAAAGUCCUCAUUUUAUUACUCUAUUAAACUCAUAAGUUACAAGAAAUGAAAAGUUUUGAAAGUUUACAAAACUUGCCCUCAAGUUUUGGAACAAGUAAAGUUAAGUUAAAACUUUAGUUCCAACCCCUAGAAUUUUAAAAGUUAAAAUUCAACCCUUAUACUUAUAUUAUUAUGAUUUAAUAAUUAUAUAUAUAUGUAUAAGAACAAAGUCGUCUUACCGCUAGUACGCCUCAUUCACGAAGCCGGUCUAUAAGGUGGGUAUAAGGUUGUUGCCUAUAAAAUGGUGACUUAAUGGGUGUCCACUCUCACCCACCGCUUGCUUGAUCGGUGGAGGGUCGUUAGCCGAACGGGUAAGACAAGGACUUAUUAAUUCUCAUUCAAAGUAUGAUGAAUAUUAUAAAGUAACUAAAUGUUUUAUUAAAUUCCCAAUCUUAGUUACUUUAGGAAAAAUGUGAAUAAGGUGCUAUUCCAUGAAAUUACACUUUACACUUUGAUUAAGUCGUUGGUGGAGCGUGUGUGGUUAACCGGCACACUAACUUGGACUUAACAAGGUAGGUAAAGGGUGACUUAGGGUUUAUUAUAGUAUCGAUGGAGCGUGUGUGGUUAACCGGCACAUCGAUUGAGUGAUAAACUUUAAGGGUACCAAGUGAUUUGCAUGGUUACUUCACACCUCGUUUUGUGAUCCUCGGUAUCCCAGUCACAAAACUUGGAGGGCACACUCGAGAUUGAAACAUGCCUUUGAAAAGUUCAUUGAAUCUCAAAGAAUCUAGGAAUUUCUAAGAACCAUUCAAAAACCUAAUACUAAAAUAUUGCGGUUUUCGUGGUGGAAAUUGGUGAAUCGUCAUUCACCUACCUUUCAAAUAUGAUAUAGCUUAGAUUACGGCAUACCUCUUCUAAGUUAUAUUAUAUUGUGAUUGGAUCCUAGCCUUAAUAUUACAUUUGGGUGUUUUAUUAAGGACUCUCUUAUAUCUAAACUAAUCUUGUCCUCUUUCCUUCAGAUGUCUUUCAACAAUGCUUCUGGCUCUAAUCCUAAUGGCUCCUUUACCCUUAUGAACUUGUGUGGGAAAGUCACCUUUGAUGGAUCCAACUUCAAUGAGUGGAUCAGAAACAUCAGGAUGAUUACCCGCUACGAGGACAAAGAAUAUGUCCUUGACAAGGAGCUUAAGGAGAUUGAUGAGUCCACUGCAACUCCUCAGGAGAUCGCUGAAUUUCGGGCACAUGAAAGGGAUGCUACGAAAGUGGCUUGCAUCAUGAUGGCCACGAUGACAGCGGAACUCCAAAAGUCUUAUGAGGAUUUCUACCCUUAUGAAAUGCACCAAGAUUUGAUGGAAAGAUACCAUCAAAGUGCAAGACAAGAGAGGUAUGAAAUCAUCUGCUCCAUGAUAACAACCAUGAUGAAGGACGGGGAAUCCGUCACGAGCCACAUGCAGAAAAUGCAAAGGUAUGUGGAUCGUUUGCUGAAGCUUAAUGUGAACUUCCCGGAGGAUCUUGCAAUAGAUAUUAUUUUGCAUUCCUUACCAUCGUGCUAUGAUCAAUUCCGCAUGACAUAUCACAUGAACAAGGAAGAAGUCACCCUCAGCAAACUUCAGGGACUUCUCAAGACCGCAGAAUCAGGUCUUAAGGGGAAGUCGGUUGCUAUCACUCCUACUCAAAACUCUACUCCGGUUUUGGCAAUCGGGAAAAGUCGAGGGAGGAAGAGAAAGAGCUCUUCUAAGGGUACCAAGGUUCGGACCCUUGAUGGCUCUUCUUCAAGUGGAACCAAGAAAGGUUUCAUUACUCCUUCUUCUGACCCAAAAGAGGCUGAAUGCUUCUAUUGCCAUGAAAAAGCUCAUUGGAAGCGGAACUGCCCAAAAUACCAGCAAGAUGUGAAGGAUGGGAAAGUUAAACCCAACCAUGCAGGUAUUUACACUAUCAUUUCUAAUAACUCACCCCAUUCUAAUUCUUGGGUCCUUGAUACCGGGUGUGGUAUUCACAUUUGUUGUGACUUGCAGGGACUAAGAAGAAGUGAGGAUGUGGAGCAAGGAAGGAUAAACUUGAUCAUGGGGAAUAGGAAAGCUAUACCUGUUACCAAGAUUGGAGUUUAUACUUUAUCGCUAAGUAGUGGGUUUAGUUUAGAUUUGAAUAAGUGUUGUUAUUCGCCAGGAAUGGCAAGAAAUAUUAUUUCCUUUCAUGCUUUGUACAAACAAGGGUUUACCUUUUCAUUUAAUAAUGAAGUUGGUUCUAUAGAUGUUUUCUAUAAUAAUGUCUUUUAUUUUAAAGCAUUACCUUGUGAUGGUGUGUAUGAAGCUGUAUCUGUUGUAGAUAACUUGGGAAAUAAUGUUUUGUGUAUUGAUUCUACUAAUAAUAACUUGGAUAAAGCAUCUUUAUGGCAUUGUCGUCUUGGACAUAUAAGCAAGAAACGCAUAGGCCAACUCCAAAAGGAUGGAGUCUUGGAGUCGUUUGACCUAAAGUCAGAUGAUAGUUGCGAAUCAUGCUUACUUGGAAAAAUGACAAAGUCACCCUUCACAGGUUCGUGUGAGAGGGGUGAAGGUUUGUUGGACCUUAUACACACGGAUGUGUGUGGACCAUUCAAACAUGCCACAAGGGAUGCUAAUCGUUAUUAUUUGACUUUUACUGAUGAUUAUAGUAGAUAUGGAUAUGUCUACUUGAUCAAGCAUAAGUCAGAGACUUUCGAGAGGUUUAAGGAAUUUAAACAGGAAGUCGAGAAUCAAUUGGGCAGGAACAUUAAGAUGCUUCGAUCCGAUCGUGGUGGUGAGUAUCUUAGUUCAGAGUUCCUCGACUAUCUAAGGGAAUGUGGGAUAGUCUCACAAUUGACACCUCCCAGGACACCACAGUUGAAUGGUGUGGCUGAGAGGCGUAAUCGAACCUUGUUAGAUAUGGUUCGUUCCAUGAUGAGUCGAGCUACGCUACCAAUCUCAUUCUGGGGGUAUGCCUUAGAGACUGCCGCCCAUAUUCUUAAUCUAGUCCCUACAAAGAAAGUUGCCAAAACUCCUCACGAGAUGUGGACUGGUAAAGUACCUAAACUAGACCACAUCAAGAUUUGGGGUUGCGAGGCUUUCGUGAGACGCGAGACUCAUGAUAAGCUCGAACCUCGAAGCGAGAGGUGUAUUUUCAUCGGUUACCCACAGCGAUCCUUUGGUUACCUCUUCUACAGACCUAGUGACAAUGUGGUCUUUGUAGCAAGAAGAGGAGUCUUUCGAGAAAGAGAGUUUAUAAGCCAAGGAGACAGUGGGAGGCAAAUUGAUCUUGAAGAAAUUCAAGAAUCAAGCGGUGAAGGAACUUCAAACUCUAGCCCUCAACUUGAGGAGGAAACUCCUGUUGAGCCAAUUGACAAAUCUGUACCUCUGAGACGUUCCACGAGAGUUAGGAGUGCACCUGAGCAUUACUAUGGAUUCCAUAUUACUGCAGAAGGUGAGACACUUAUUAGUGAUGAGACACUAGUAAGUCAAGAUGACCCUAACAGCUACGAGGAAGCCAUGGCAGGCCCCGAGUCUGCUAAAUGGAAAGAGGCUAUGGAUAGCGAGAUACAAUCCAUGUAUGACAAUCAAGUUUGGAACUUGGUUGAAAAUGUACCAGGUCGUAAGACAGUAGGGUGCAAAUGGGUCUUCAAGAAGAAGACCGACAUGGAUGGUAAAGUACACACUUAUAAGGCUAGACUGGUUGCAAAGGGCUUCUCUCAAAUUCCUGGAGUGGAUUAUGAUGAGACCUUUUCUCCGGUAGCCAAGAUUAAGUCUAUUCGGGUUCUGUUAGCCAUAGCUGCAUUUCAUGACUAUGAAAUAUGGCAGAUGGAUGUCAAAACCGCUUUCCUUAAUGGAAAGUUGGCUGAAGAUGUUUACAUGAGUCAGCCAGAGGGUUUUGUCAGCAACGAGUACCCUAAUAGAGUGUGUAAGCUUGAGAAAUCCAUUUAUGGAUUGAAGCAAGCACCUCGCAGAUGGAAUCUUUGCUUUGAUGAAAAGGUCAAGGAAUUUGGCUUUUCUAGGAGUGAAGAUGAAUCUUGUGUGUAUGUCAAGGCUAGUGGGAGUAUAGUUAGCUUUUUGGUAUUGUAUGUGGAUGACAUACUACUCAUAGGAAACGACAUUCCAACCCUGCAGGAAGUAAAGUCCUGGCUUGGGAAGUGUUUCGCUAUGAAGGACCUUGGUGAAGCUGCCUAUAUUCUAGGGAUAAGAAUCUUGAGAGAUCGGAGUAAAAGACUAAUUGGACUUAGUCAGAGUACCUACUUGGAUAAGGUGCUGAAGAGAUUCAGCAUGCAGGAUUCCAAGAAAGGAGAGUUACCCAUCCAGAGUAACACCAGAUUGAGUAAGACACAAAGCCCUAGCACUGAGGCUGAGAUAGCAGAAAUGAGUCGAACACCUUACGCUUCGGCUGUAGGAUCGAUCAUGUAUGCUAUGACGUGUACUCGACCCGAUGUAGCUUUUGCCUUGAGCAUGGUUAGCAGGUAUCAGGCGAACCCUGGCAAGGCACACUGGACUGCGGUAAAGAAUAUCCUCAAGUACCUACGGAGGACUAAGGACUGGGUCCUUACCCUCGGUGGGAGUGAUGACUUGAGAGUUGUAGGGUAUAGUGAUGCUAGCUUCCAGACUGAUAGGGAUAAUUUCCGCUCUCAGUCGGGCUGGGUCUUUACCCUAAACGGAGGAGCAAUUUCUUGGAAGAGUUCCAAGCAAGAGACAGUGGCAGAUUCUACUUGUGAAUCAGAGUAUAUUGCAGCUAGCGAAGCAGCAAAGGAGGCGAUAUGGCUGAAGAACUUCAUUGGAGACCUUGGAGUUGUACCAGCUAUUAAAGAGCCAAUGGAAAUUUUCUGUGAUAGUGAAAGUGCUGUUGCCUUAGCCAAGGAACCAAGGGAUCAUGGGAGAUCCAGACACAUCGACAGAAAAUACCAUUUCAUUAGACAUCGGAUCGAAGAAGGACUCCUCGUGGCAAAGAGGGUAUCAUCGGAUGAGAACCCAGCAGAUCCCCUCACGAAGGGACUGAGUAGGGUUAAGCAUCUCCAGCAUGCUCGGAGCAUAGGGCUGAAGGAUGAUAUAAGUUUUAGUAGUUAGAUAACCCAGAAAUUUGUAAAGUGUAAUUGACAUUUGAUGAUGAAUAAAAGGUGUUUUAUUUAUGAGUAAAGUGUUGCUAUCUCUUGUCAAUCGUUUACUAUAUUUCUUUUGCAUGUUUUGACUUCCAGAAUAAUUUUGUUUGGUGUAACAUAUUAUUCAAACCUCCACAGUCGGUCAUAUGUCGGAAGUAGGUAUGAAUCAAGACUGUCAUGAUGGGUUGUAGAGGUCUAAGGUGUUGGACAAGGCUACAACAAUCAUGAGUGCUCAUAAGUUCUGAGCAUUGGACUCAACCCACGCUCACUGGAAUCACUUCAUGGAAUUCUAUCUCGAGUGAUCGUGAGACGGUAAUAUCAUAUAAGUCUUCAAACCUAGAGAUAUGAUUUGUUACUUACAAGUUGGUUAUGCAUUGACUGUACGAAACCGCAUUGGUAACUCGAUGUUAUAAAACGUACUUUUGUGUGUAAUUCAAUGAGUGGUAGAACAAACAUAUGAGUCGAAGUUUAUCUGUUCCUUCUUGGAUUAGAAGCUGAUAUCUGGGCCCCUCGAUGAUUUUGUUUUGACCCAUGUACCGGGCCCGGUCAGAACUAAGUUGAUGUGUUCAAUUAAGUUCUAUGUCAAACAAAUCGGAAAUCGGGAAACAAAUGCUGGACAAUAAGCAAGACAAUGUUCCAUGUAUUUGUCCGGCUGAUAUCUAGAACGGAGGAUUAUAUGAUCACUUAUCUUAAAUGGCGUACCAUCAUCUUCUCAGUUCCGAGAGACCUUGAAAGAGCUACGAUUGCCGGUCGGUUCCUGAAGUACUAGAGAUAUAGUUAUUAGACUUAUCCAAGUGGGAGACUGUUGGAUAAGGUGUCUAAGUCCAUAACUAUUUCGGGCUUGUACUUGACCCGACCCGGCAUGGUCCAUUUGGGUUGCAUGGCACCAUGCAAUUGGAUAGACUAAAUGAGAGAAAUAACACUUGGAGAUUAUUAAUAUAUUAUAAGUUCUAAUAUAUUAAUAAUAUUAUUUAAUUAGUUGAUCAAAGAAUUAAUUUGGAAUUAAUUAAGUGAUCAAAGGAUAACUAAUUAAAUAUAUGGGUUGGUUAUGUAAAUCAUCCAUAUCUUGUAUAGUGGGCUAAAAGGCUCCAUGGAUUAUCAAGUUGGGUUCUACCCAUAGGAUGCUCCAUGGGAGUUACAAACCCAUGGGUCAUGGAAAUGAAGAGUCAUGACACAUUAGGGUUUACAUGGUGUAACCCUAGAUGUGUCAACACUAUAUAAGAAUCAUAUUCUCCACCAAAAUGGGCUACACAUAGAGACAUAAGAAACUAGAGGGCUUGGCCGAUUUUGAGAAGUGUGUGUUAUCUCAAGAGUCUUUCCAAGAGCAUUUGGUGUUGUGUGAAGCAUUUGAGGCAUCACACUUGGGGUGCUAGGCUCGCAAGGUUUCAAGGAACACAAGCAACAACAAGGUAAGUUAUUCUAUCUAUGAUUCAAGUUAAAAUUGUUCCCCGUGUAUGCUAGAUAGGAAUAUAACCUUGGAAUUCAACUUUGCAUGAUAAUUAGACAAACAUAGAUCCAAGGUUAUUAGGGUUGCAUGUACACUUAGGAAGUGUUAGAAUGCUCAAAACCC
rnacentral:lncRNA from 1 species